rnacentral:sRNA from 1 species
CUGCAGCACAGUUGGACCAACCACCAACCUUCGGAAGCAUGCCACAUUGUGCCGCAACACCACAAAGUAGAGGGACCAAGUGGAGGUCCACGAAAUCGUGCGAGAUUUUUCUGUCAACUAGGAGUAUCUUGCGGGUUCAACCCCCAAAACUAGGCUUAGUUUGACCAAUGAGAGAUGGGACAACCGGGAGACGGGAGAGCCGGAACACCCGUUUCCCUCGACCGGCUACGAUGCGGCGAUAGACAGACGGAGUUCGCAGCGGCAGCGCCGAGCGGCGGGUUGCGGCACUAUACGGCGCCGUCGCAUUGGCGCAUUGGAUACCUAGACCACGUCCUCAUCCCUUGUUUCGCUCUGUACAGAAUUGCAGGAAUCCGUUCUCUCACUUUCUCUCGUGUGCUCCCGUCCUCUCCUAGCGUAACUGGGUGGUCCUCCUCCGACCACCACGUGGGACAUUCAAUAUCCCCGUUGACAUACUGCGUCAUCACCUAAUAAAUGCUGCUGCGAACUCCGUCCAUCGCCGCAUGUUCAUCGAUCAAGGAAAAAAGGGUCUUCUAGUGUUGUCCCACCUCUUAUUGAUCAAAUUAAACUAGUUUUUGGAAGUUGGGUCAUCCUUAAGAAAAAAGAGAAGAGAUACUAACAAGAGAAAUGGAGAAGAUGGAAGAGAGAUGCGACGGAUAUUUGCGGAAAUUGCAUUGUAAAAAGGCGUACUAAUGAGUACUGGAAGUAGAGCAAGCAAUACGUGCGAGAUGAGACGCACUCUUGAUUUCUCCGGAAAAGUUCGACGAGAUUGGAAAAGAUCUGAUUGUUUCAAUUUCUCGGUAAACUUAUCUAUCAGGUAAGUAUGUGUCUAUCUUCAUUUUUUUUUCUUAAAUAAAUAAAGACACACAUAUUUACCUGAUGGGUAAGUUUACCAAGAAGUCGAAAUAAUCGGCCCUUAGAUAUACAAGAACGCUUAUCGCUUGUCUAAAAAAAAGGCGAUUCAUGCAAACGUAUUCCGUUAAAAUUGGAGUCAAAUCUACCUACAUUUCCGGCUGAAAAUCUAUCUACAGAAUUGCAAAUAACCAAUGGACUGCUUAACGGAAAAACGUGCAAAAAUUCUCUUGUCUUGAGAGAAGAGAAAGAGCAAAACGUUAGUGGGAAAUACGAUUAGUGUUAUACCUAUAGUAAGAAUGAGAAACCGCAUUGCGACACGAAAGAGUUUAUGUGGAAAUAAUUUUGACAUUGGAUGACGACAUGUUGAUAUGAUGAAGAAAUAUAUCAUCCAAAAAAUUUCCAACGAUUGGAUUCCAAGAAAUUGAAGGAUAUCUAGAAGUUGAAUGAACUCCGUGAGAUAUGAAACAAAUAUUUUGCCAGGGAAGAAACCUGUUUCGCGCGCGGUAUGACAUUGCGCAACAUGUGCGACUAGUGCGAAAGCGUACCCAACAUAACUGGUAGACGACGACGACGACGACGACGACGACAUAAAACGUCCGAAGAACCAAAGAUAACAUGUAGAUAACAUGUAGAGAACAUGUAGAGAAAGUGUCUUAUUUCAAAUUUGAAGUUUUAAAUCUUAGUAUUUAAAAGUCAAAAUACUAAGAUUCGAAAGCGCUAUUUUAAAUCCGAUAUUCAAACUGUUCACGGCAAUUAAGUUUUCAAUCGUUGGAAAGGUAUGAACGACAUAUUAAAAGCCCUAAAUCACUCUUGUACGGAAUAGAAACCGAAACAUGAAUUUUAUCGUCGUCUCGUAAGUACCGAUUAUUCUAAUUCAUAUACGAUAACGAUCUGUUACACUGACUAGCCGUUUCGAAUUCGCUUUAUAUAACCAACACUAGUGUUGCUAUUUCGGAAUACACUGAAAUGCAUUAAAGAAAAAAAAAAA